GAUGAACGCUGGCGGCGUGCCUAAUACAUGCAAGUCGAGCGAACAGACGAGGAGCUUGCUCCUCUGACGUUAGCGGCGGACGGGUGAGUAACACGUGGAUAACCUACCUAUAAGACUGGGAUAACUUCGGGAAACCGGAGCUAAUACCGGAUAAUAUAUUGAACCGCAUGGUUCAAUAGUGAAAGACGGUUUUGCUGUCACUUAUAGAUGGAUCCGCGCCGCAUUAGCUAGUUGGUAAGGUAACGGCUUACCAAGGCGACGAUGCGUAGCCGACCUGAGAGGGUGAUCGGCCACACAGGAACUGAGACACGGUCCAGACUCCUACGGGAGGCAGCAGUAGGGAAUCUUCCGCAAUGGGCGAAAGCCUGACGGAGCAACGCCGCGUGAGUGAUGAAGGUCUUCGGAUCGUAAAACUCUGUUAUUAGGGAAGAACAAAUGUGUAAGUAACUAUGCACGUCUUGACGGUACCUAAUCAGAAAGCCACGGCUAACUACGU
rnacentral:rRNA from 1 species